CUGGCGGCAUAUUCUAACACAUGCCACUCGAGCGCGAAAACACUUCGGUGUGAGUAAAGCGGCGGACGGGUGAGUAACGCGUAGGAAUCUACCUAGUAGUGGGGGGCAACUCGGGGAAACUCGAGCUAAUACCGCAUACGCCCUACGGGGGAAAGCGGGGGACCUUCGGGCCUCGUGCUAUUAGAUGAGCCUGCGUUGGAUUAGCUAGUUGGUGGGGUAAAGGCCUACCAAGGCGACGAUCCAUAGCUGGUCUGAGAGGAUGAUCAGCCACACCGGGACUGAGACACGGCCCGGACUCCUACGGGAGGCAGCAGUGGGGAAUAUUGCGCAAUGGGCGAAAGCCCGACGCANCCAUGCCGCGUGU
rnacentral:rRNA from 1 species